CUGAAGGGGCACAAGUACCUAUGAGGACAUUUGCAUAUCUAAAAAAACAUGGCCGCCAUUGGCCAAACAAAUUUAAGCACCUAUUUGAAAGGGUUAACGGAUGUUGAUCGGAACGAAACUCGCUGGGUACGUUCGACUCAUGAACCUUAAGGUCUGUAAGAAUUUUGAAAGAAAUCGGCCACUAGUUGGCGCUAACGAGUUUUAUGGCUCUGUAAUCACGUGGUGUUUCACAUAUCAACACAAUAUGCAUAUCAUUUGAUAGAUCUCCUCGUAAUGCACAACUUUGCCUCAAGAACCAUUGCUGUCAAUCAAAUCGUUCAAUUGUUAUUCACAAAUAUGUUAAAAACCUACUUUUGCGAACUAGUCCUAGGUUUUUUGCCCGAUCGGAACCAAACCACUGCAGUAAUAUUCUGUGGACUCUCUAGAUCAAUAAUUAUUAAAAAAAUGUUGAAUUUUGUCCUUUGGUUAGCUGUAACGGGGUAAUUUAGAAAAAGGGGUGUGGCCAAACAUACCCCAAAGCCUAUAAAACCUAAAGGAAAACUCAAAACUUUAUGAAACUCAGUGAAAUCAUGUAACAGGUGACUCUUAACAAGCAUGCAAAGUUUCAUGGAGAUCAGACCAUAGGUGGCGCUAUAACAGUAGAAAAGGUCUCAAAACACAAGAUUUAUAUGGUAAAUGGCCCCAAAUUGUUUGAAAAUGCUCAUAUAUUCACUCAAAAACACUAAAUCUUCAUAUCAUAUGAUAGAUCUCCUCAUUCUGAACAACUUUGCCUCUGGGACCAAUGUUGUCAAUAAAGCUGUUAAUUAAAUAUUCAAGAUUAUUUUAAAAAGUUACUUUGGCAUACUUGUGAUACGGUUUAAGAUGAAAAUCAAUAAAACCACUGAAGUACAAUUCUGUAGACUCUGAAGGUCAAUAAUUAUCAAAAACAUGUUGAACAAUUGCAUUUGGACAACUAUAAACCAGUAAUUUUAUAAUAUGUUCUUUUCAUAGUGUACACAAAGGCCUAUUAAUACAAACAGAAAGCCCACACAUUAUCAAAACUGUGUAAAACAAUGCAUAAUUUCAUUCUAAACAAGCAUGCAAAAUUUAAGAGAGAUUGGGCAAAAAAAAAAAAAAAACACUAUAACAGUUAUGUUUAAAAACAGUGUUGCUUGAGUAAAUGCAAUUUAUAACCUCUAGAUGGCAGUGGAAGACCACUAAUGGGCUCAUUCAGUUAUGUUGAACAGUACUGUUGAAAGGAUUCAUGAAUUCAUCCCAAAACAUUAAAAAUGUAACUGUUAUAACAUUUUAAAUCUCAUUGAGUCAAUGUUUUCCAUUUUGUUCUUACAGAUAUAUCAGUUUUUACUAUUUUGCCACAUUGUGAUUACAGUUUCACCUGAAAAUGACAUCUAAACUCUUAAAAAGAGAAGACUUGCAAUAAGUUUAUUGUCACCUAUCACUUAUUUCAAAUACCUAUAUCUGCAACAAAAUGUUUGUGCAUGUAUAUGUGUGUCUUUCUGUGUGUGUGUGUGUGCAUAUGCUUAUAGAGUAUACAUAUAUUAGUCUAAUCAUUUACUUUCAGUGUGUGUGUCUGUCUGUUAGCCUGUUCUCCAUUUUGGAUGUGUUUAAAUGUCAUCCAUGCAUCCAGGUUGGCUCAGACCACCUCAGAGGCCUUAAUGUGCUUGAACCCCGGUAAAUGCUGCUUGCAGCUUUAAUUAUUAGGGGUUCAAGCACGCAGUGCUGAAACCCUAUUGUAUUUGUUAGGAUUUUUAUUAUUAUUAUUAUUAUUAUUAUUAUUAUUCUCCACUCAAACUGUUCGUGCAGCCCAAACCGUAAGGCCUAGAAAGCUGAAAUUUGGUCAGAAUGUAGUAGUCCGGCCUUCUUGUCAGAUACCGAGUCUCGAUCCAAUCGGCCUAACGGGGGCGCUACAGCGCAAAAAACUAAAAUUUGUGACAUUUUUGGCCGUAAAUCGUAAACCGUUAGCCGUAGACUCAAAAACAUGGCAUUGUUGCAAUCCUUGGGUUAGCCCGAACAAAAGUGCACGGCGCCUUUUUGGGGUCUACGACGCACCGUUUUCUCGCAAAAUCGAGCUAUAUCCGAAACCUACUUUUGCGAACUAGUCCUAGGAUUUUCAACCAAUCAGAACCAAACCACUUCAUAAAUAUUCCCUGGACACUCAAUAUCAAUAAUUAUCAAAAAAAAGUUGAAAUUUCAAUUCAUACGCGAAACAGUACACCAAAAAGCGUCUAUGCUAACGUUAGCCAAAUGCUAUUUUAACUAUAACUCUUGAACGGAAUGAGAUAUCUUCACCAAACUCGGUACACAUAUGUAUGAGCUCAAUCUUUGGUCAAAUCAAAAAAAUUGCGCAUCUCUGCCACUUGGGGGCGCUAUAAGAUAGAAAAAACACAUAAAUUGCUAUAACUAGGCAACCGUUGGCUCGAUCGACUUGAAAAUCGGUAUGUAGUGUCUUGGUCUGAAGGGGCACAAGUACCUAUGAGGACAUUUGCAUAUCUCAAAAAACAUGGCCGCCAUUGGCCAAACAAUUUUAAGCACCUAUUUGAAAGGGUUAACGGAUGUUGAUCGGAACGAAACUCGCUGGGUACGUUCAACUCAUGAACCUUAAGGUCUGUAAGAAUUUUGAAAGAAAUCGGCCACUAGUUGGCGCUAACGAGUUUUAUGGCUCUGUAAUCACGUGGUGUUUCACAUAUCAACACAAUAUGCAUAUCAUUUGAUAGAUCUCCUCAUAAUGCACAACUUUGCCUCAGGAACCAUUGCUGUCAAUCAAAUCAUUCAAUUGUUAUUCACAAAUAUGUUAAAAACCUACUUUUGCGAACUAGUCCUAGGUUUUUUGUCCGAUCGGAACCAAACCACUGCAGUAAUAUUCUGUGGACUCUCUAGAUCAAUAAUUAUUAAAAAAAUGUUGAAUUUUGUCCUUUGGUCAGCUGUAAAGGGGUAAUUUAGAAAAAGGGGUGUGGCCAAACAUACCCCAAAGCCUAUAAAACCUUAACGAAAACUCAAAACUUUAUGAAACUCGGUGAAAUCAUCUAACUUGUGACUCUUAACAAGCAUGCAAAGUUUCAUGGAGAUCAGACCAUAGGUGGCGCUAUAACAGUAGAAAAGGUCUCAAAACACAAGAUUUAUAUGGUAAAUGGCCUCAAAUUGUUUGUAAAUGCUCAUAUAUUCACUCAAAAACACUAAAUCUUUAUAUCAUUUGAUAAAUAUCCUCAUUCUGAACAACUUUGCCUCUGGCACCAAUGUUGUCAAUAAAGCUGUUAAUUAAACAUUCAAGAUUAUUUUAAAAAGGUACUUUGGCAAACUAAUGAUCGGGUAUAAGAUGAAAAUCAAUAAAACCACUGAAGUACAAUUCUCUAGACUCUGAAGGUCAAUAAUUAUCAAAAACAUGUUGAACAAUUGCAUUUAGACAACUAUAAACCAGUAAUUUUAUAUUAUGUUAUUUGCAUAGUGUACACAAAGGCCUAUUAAUACAAACAGAAAUCCCACAAAUGAUCAAAACUGUGUAAAAUAAUGCAUGAUUUCAUUCUAAACAAGCAUGCAAAAUUUAAGAGAGAUUGGGCAAAAAAAAAAAAAAAAUAACAACACUAUAACAGUUAUGUUUAGAAACACAGUGUUGUUUCAGUAAAUGCAAUUUAUAACCACUAGAUGGCAGCGGAAGACCACUAAUGGGCUCAUUCAGUUAAAAUGAACAGUACUGUAGAAAGGAUUCAUGAAUUCAUGCCAAAACAUUAAUAAAUUAACUGUUAUAACAUGUUACAUCUUAUUGAAUCAAUGUUUUCCAUUUUGUUCAUACAGACACAUCAUUUUUUACAAUUUUGCCACAUUGUGAUUACAGUGAAACCUGAAUGACAUCUAAACUCUUAAAAACUAGUUUAAUCAUUUAAUUUCAGUGUGUGUGUGUCUGUCUUUUGGAUGUAUUUAAAUGUCAUCCAUACAUCCUGGUUGGCCGAGACCACCCCAGAGGCACAAAGACCUAUUAAUACAAACAGAAAUCCCACAAAUUAUCAAAACUGUGUAAAGUAAUGCAUAAUUUCAUUCUAAACAAGCAUGCAACAUUUAAGAGAGAUAGGGCAAAAAACCCAACAACAACACUUUAACAGUUAUGUUUAAAAACACAGUGUUGUUUGAGUAAAUGCAAUUUAUAACCACUAGAUGGCAGCGGAAGACCACUAAUGGG